UACGUAGGGGGCGAGCGUUGUCCGGAUUUAUUGGGCGUAAAGAGCUCGUAGGCGGCUUGGCAAGUCGGGUGUGAAACCUCCAGGCUCAACCUGGAGACGCCACUCGAUACUGCUAUGGCUAGAGUCCGGUAGGGGACCACGGAAUUCCUGGUGUAGCGGUGGAAUGCGCAGAUAUCAGGAGGAACACCGGUGGCGAAGGCGGGAUCCUGGGCCAGUACUGACGCUGAGGAGCGAAAGCGUGGGAGCAAACAGG
rnacentral:rRNA from 1 species